rnacentral:rRNA from 1 species
AACGCUGCCGGCGUGCCUAAUACAUGCAAGUCCGCGAAUCUGAGGGAGCUUGCUCCCAAAGAUUAGCGGCGGACGGGUGAGUAACACGUGGGUAACCUGCCUGUAAGACUGGGAUAACUUCGGGAAACCGGAGCUAAUACCGGAUAACAUAUGAGAUCACAUGGUCUUAUAUUAAAAGAUGGCUUUUAGCUAUCACUUACAGAUGGACCCGCGGCGCAUUAGCUAGUUGGUGAGGUAACGGCUCACCAAGGCGACGAUGCGUAGCCGACCUGAGAGGGUGAUCGGCCACACUGGGACUGAGACACGGCCCAGACUCCUACGGGAGGCAGCAGUAGGGAAUCUUCCGCAAUGGACGAAAGUCUGACGGAGCAACGCCGCGUGAGCGAAGAAGGUCUUCGGAUCGUAAAGCUCUGUUGUUAGGGAAGAACAAGUACCGUUCGAAUAGGGCGGUACCUUGACGGUACCUAACCAGAAAGCCACGGCUAACUACGUGCCAGCAGCCGCGGUAAUACGUAGGUGGCAAGCGUUAUCCGGAAUUAUUGGGCGUAAAGCGCGCGCAGGCGGUCCUUUAAGUCUGAUGUGAAAGCCCACGGCUCAACCGUGGAGGGUCAUUGGAAACUGGGGGACUUGAGUGCAGAAAAGGAGAGCGGAAUUCCACGUGUAGCGGUGAAAUGCGUAGAGAUGUGGAGGAACACCCAGUGGCGAAGGCGGCUCUCUGGUCUGUAACUGACGCUGAGGCGCCGAAAGCCUGGGGGAGCGAACAGGAUUA